rnacentral:rRNA from 1 species
GAUGGAGAGUUUGAUCCUGGCUCAGGACGAACGCUGGCGGCGUGCUUAACACAUGCAAGUCGAGCGAGGCUCUUCCUUCGGGGAGAUGUCCUAGCGGCGAACGGGUGAGUAACACGUGGGCAACC